rnacentral:rRNA from 1 species
CCUACGGGAGGCAGCAGUGAGGAAUAUUGGUCAAUGGACGAGAGUCUGAACCAGCCAAGUAGCGUGAAGGAUGACUGCCCUAUGGGUUGUAAACUUCUUUUAUAUGGGAAUAAAACGUUCCACGUGUGGGAUUUUGUAUGUACCAUAUGAAUAAGGAUCGGCUAACUCCGUGCCAGCAGCCGCGGUAAUACGGAGGAUCCGAGCGUUAUCCGGAUUUAUUGGGGUUAAAGGGAGCGUAGGUGGAUUGUUAAGUCAGUUGUGAAAGUUUGCGGCUCAACCGUAAAAUUGCAGUUGAAAAUGGCAGUCUUGAGUACAGUAGAGGUGGGCGGAAUGCGUGGUGUAGCGGUGAAAUGCUUAGAUAUCACGAAGAACUCCGAUUGCGAAGGCAGUUCACUGGACUGCAACUGACACUGAGGCUCGAAAGUGUGGGUAUCAAACAGGAUUAGAUACCCUGGUAGUC